CUUGCUUCAGCAGGAAAAUUGGAAUGAUACAGAGAAGAUUAGCAUGGCCCCUGCACAAGGAUGACAUGCAAAUUUGUGAAGUGCUCCAUAUUUUU
rnacentral:snRNA from 1 species